GAUGAACGCUGGCGGCGUGCCUAAUACAUGCAAGUCGAGCGAACAGACGAGGAGCUUGCUCCUCUUACGUUAGCAGCGGACGGGUGAGUAACACGUGGAUAACCUACCUAUAAGACUGGGAUAACUUCGGGAAACCGGAGCUAAUACCGGAUAAUAUAUUUAACCGCAUGGUUCAAUAGUGAAAGACGGUUUUGCUUUCACUUAUAAUUGGAUCCGCGCCUCUUUAGCUAGUUGUUAAGGUAACGCCUUCCCAAGGCAACGAUCCGUAGCCGACCUGAGAGGUGGACCGCCAAAACUGGAACUGGGAAACGGUCCAGACUCCUACGGGAGGCAGCAGUAGGGAAUCUUCCGCAAUGGGCGAAAGCCUGACGGAGCAACGCCGCGUGAGUGAUGAAGGUCUUCGGAUCGUAAAACUCUGUUAUUAGGGAAGAACAAAUGUGUAAGUAACUAUGCACGUCUUGACGGUACCUAAUCAGAAAGCCACGGCUAACUACGUG
rnacentral:rRNA from 1 species